rnacentral:rRNA from 1 species
GAUGAACGCUGGCGGCGUGCCUAAUACAUGCAAGUCGAGCGAACAGACGAGGAGCUUGCUCCUCUGACGUUAGCGGCGGACGGGUGAGUAACACGUGGAUAACCUACCUAUAAGACUGGGAUAACUUCGGGAAACCGGAGCUAAUACCGGAUAAUAUAUUGAACUGCAUGGUUCAAUAGUGAAAGACGGUUUUGCUGUCACUUAUAGAUGGAUCCGCGCCGCAUUAGCUAGUUGGUAAGGUAACGGCUUACCAAGGCAACGAUGCGUAGCCGACCUGAGAGGGUGAUCGGCCACACUGGAACUGAGACACGGUCCAGACUCCUACGGGAGGCAGCGUUAGGGAAUCUUCCGCAAUGGGCGAAAGCCUGACGGAGCAACGCCGCGUGAGUGAUGAAGUUCUUCGGAUCGUAAAACUCUGUUAUUAGGGAAGAACAAAUGUGUAAGUAACUAUGCACGUCUUGACGGUACCUAAUCAGAAAGCCACGGCUAACUACGUG